rnacentral:misc_RNA from 1 species
GUAGGUGAACCUGCGGAAGGAUCAUUAACAAAUCAUGUGUGUGGUGGAGUGGUGAGGGGGUAACCCCUUUCAUCGUCCCCUCAUAUAUAAACCCCAAGCUGGGAAAGGCCUUUGGGCUUGGAACAGCUUUGGUAGCAGUCCCGAGAGGGGCUGUAGGUCGGGCCUUCCCGAAAGGGGGGCCAGGCCACAUAGACGCUUGACAUGUUUGACAGAGUACAGUUGCUUCAUAAAGAAUACAACUUUUAACAAU